UACAGGGGGUGCAAACGUUGCUCGGAAUUAUUGGGCGUAAAGCGCGCGUAGGCGGCUACUUAUGUCGGAUGUGAAAGCCCCUGGCUCAACUGGGGAAGUGCACCCGAAACUGAGUAGCUGGAGUACGAAAGAGGGUCGCGGAAUUCCCGGUGUAGAGGUGAAAUUCGUAGAUAUCGGGAGGAACACCGGUGGCGAAGGCGGCGACCUGGGUCGAUACUGACGCUGAGGCGCGAAAGCGUGGGGAGCAAACAGGAUUAGAAACCCUUGUAGUCC
rnacentral:rRNA from 1 species